GGUUGCGAUCAUACCAGCACUAAUGCACCGGAUCCCAUCAGAACUCCGCAGUUAAGCGUGCUUGGGCGAGAGUAGUACUAGGAUGGGUGACCCCCUGGGAAGUCCUCGUGUUGCAACCCCAC
rnacentral:rRNA from 1 species